AUUGAACGCUGGCGGCAUGCCUUACACAUGCAAGUCGAACGGUAACAGGUUAAGCUGACGAGUGGCGAACGGGUGAGUAAUGUAUCGGAACGUGCCCAGUCGUGGGGGAUAACUGCUCGAAAGAGCAGCUAAUACCGCAUACGACCUGAGGGUGAAAGCGGGGGAUCGCAAGACCUCGCGCGAUUGGAGCGGCCGAUAUCAGAUUAGGUAGUUGGUGGGGUAAAGGCCUACCAAGCCUACGAUCUGUAGCUGGUCUGAGAGGACGACCAGCCACACUGGGACUGAGACACGGCCCAGACUCCUACGGGAGGCAGCAGUGGGGAAUUUUGGACAAUGGACGCAAGUCUGAUCCAGCCAUGCCGCGUGCGGGAAGAAGGCCUUCGGGUUGUAAACCGCUUUUGUCAGGGAAGAAAAGGGUGUCUCUAAUAAAGACGCCUCAUGACGGUACCUGAAGAAUAAGCACCGGCUAACUACGUGCCAGCCGCCGCAGUAAAAC
rnacentral:rRNA from 1 species